UACGGGGGGGGCAAGCGUUGUUCGGAAUUACUGGGCGUAAAGGGCUCGUAGGCGGCCAACUAAGUCAGACGUGAAAUCCCUCGGCUUAACCGGGGAACUGCGUCUGAUACUGGAUGGCUUGAGUUUGGGAGAGGGAUGCGGAAUUCCAGGUGUAGCGGUGAAAUGCGUAGAUAUCUGGAGGAACACCGGUGGCGAAGGCGGUAUCCUGGACCAACACUGACACUGAGGAGCGAAAGCCAGGGGAGCAAACGGG
rnacentral:rRNA from 1 species